rnacentral:rRNA from 1 species
UACGGGGGGAGCAAGCGUUGUUCGGAUUCAUUGGGCGUAAAGGGUGCGUAGGUGGCGCCGUAAGUCAGGUGUGAAAUUUCGGAGCUUAACUCCGAAACUGCAUUUGAUACUGCGGUGCUUGAGGACUGGAGAGGAGACUGGAAUUCACGGUGUAGCAGUGAAAUGCGUAGAUAUCGUGAGGAAGACCAGUGGCGAAGGCGGGUCUCUGGACAGUUCCUGACACUGAGGCACGAAGGCCAGGGGAGCAAACGGG